CCCAUUAAGAGAAAUGUACAACUACAAGUAAGACAUUUUUGAAUGAAAAUGAUACUAACUAUAUAGAAAAAGACAGAAAGGAUGGUGGAAUAGACUGAAUCCUUCAAAAGAUUAACCAAUCCCAGUUCCAGCUCCUUUCUUUUGCAGGAUGGGACAACAAAACAAAACAGAACAAAACAAAAACCAAAACAAAACAUAUGUUCACUGCUCAUUCUCCUUGUCCUUGGAUCUGUCAUGGUGAUGGGACUAGAUGAAGAGAAUUAAGGUCUAAAGGAAAGUUUUUAUUUGUAGGUUGUUUUGGAGAGCACUGAUAGAUGUUUCAAACUUAUCUAUGUGGACUGGGCCAUUGGAGACCACUGAUAUUGUUGGCUCUAUGAGACACAGUAAUGCCAUAUCUGGCUAUUCAGCUAGAUUAGGCAUUUCCUGGUUGCACCACCAUUUACUGUUUCUGGAGAACCUAUAACCUUGGCUGACUAUUAUUUGUAAUUUAUUCUGCUGUUUCCCUCGAGGGUGCCACCAACAUGGACCGAAUUUGCAAAGACACACCUCUUGGAUAUGAUACUGCUCCUUCGCAACUACUACAUGAAAUCUACUGCAAAAGACCUGCAUGCCAGUGGAAGGCAACAUCAGCAGAUGAUUACUUCAGAAGUGAGCUGAAGACAAAUUUAAUUGAACAAAAUAGCUUUAAAACCAGUUUCCAGCUCCCCUUUUUAAAGUUCUCCUUUGAACAUGAGAAUGACUGCAAGCUUGUAUUUCCUGGACAUGGUUUCCUAGUGUUAGCUUUGCAUACAGGUCAUAAUCUGAAGCUUCAAUAAUUCUUCCCUUAAUGUUUCAAAGAGAUCUGGUGUGGCGGAAGUGUUGAGACAUGUCCAGAAAGUUCAGGAUCUGAAGCUGGAAAAUGAGUGGAUUUCCUUGCUAACAACUGACCAUUAAUCUGCUAAAAUGCUUUAGAAUAUAAAUUGUUAAUUGUGCAGAAACCUUUUAACCCCUGGCCUUAGUGAAACCAGCAUCCAUGGGACUGGGAUUUGGAUAGGCAGAGGACUGCCACUUUCCCCUCAGAGUCCCUUAAUGUUUUGGCACAGAAGACAUAGAUUUUCCCAUUUUCCUGUAGUGAUUUAUGGCUGGUGAUAAAUUUGAUAUCUAUUUCAAGAAUAAUUUGCCAUUCCCAUUAAAUCCAUUAGCUUGUAAUGCAUCAGUGCUACCUAUGACAACCAAAUAACAAAUACCAGUAGCUAAAGGGUUUUUUUCCCCUGACACAUACAAUAUAAAUUUAUUUCUAUAAAGGAAUAAAGAAAUUACUUGAUUUGCA
rnacentral:lncRNA from 1 species